GACAGAGGGUGCCAACGUUGCUCGGAAUUACUGGGCGUAAAGCGCGUGUAGGCGGCUCCGCGAGUCGGGUGUGAAAGCCCGGGGCUCAACCCCGGAAGUGCACUCGAUACUACGGAGCUGGAGUCUUGAAGAGGAGAGCGGAAUUCCCGGUGUAGAGGUGAAAUUCGUAGAUAUCGGGAGGAACACCAGUGGCGAAGGCGGCUCUCUGGGCAAUGACUGACGCUGAGACGCGAAAGCGUGGGUAGCAAACAGG
rnacentral:rRNA from 1 species